GUUCUCGUCGGUCAUCGGCGGUGGGGUCGCGCCGCUGCUGGCGGCGUCGCUGCUCGCGAGGUUCGCGGACUCGUGGGUGCCC
rnacentral:tRNA from 1 species